rnacentral:rRNA from 1 species
GACAUAGGUGGCGAACGUUAUCCGGAAUUAUUGGGCGUAAAGAGCUCGUAGGCGGUGUGUCGCGUCGGCCGUGAAAACCUGCAGCUUAACUGUGGGCUUGCGGUCGAUACGGGCAUCACUGGAGUUCGGCAGGGGAGACUGGAAUUCCUGGUGUAGCGGUGAAAUGCGCAGAUAUCAGGAGGAACACCGGUGGCGAAGGCGGGACUCUGGGCCGAUACUGACGCUGAGGAGCGAAAGCGUGGGGAGCGAACAGG